rnacentral:lncRNA from 1 species
CACAGAGCAGGGGCCAGCAGGUGCUUGCUGUGAAUAGGAACGUUUAGCAGAACCCGGGAGAGGAGACAGUGUUACCACACUUGCUCUCCACUUUGCCUGCGGGUGCCUUUAAGAAGCACAGAUUUCUAAACCUUGCCAAGCCGAUCCGCUGAACACCUCUACAUUCCCGGCUGCCUUGUUGGCUCCCUGGGACACGGCAGCUGUCCUGUGUCCGUAAACAGAUAAUAGCUCCUCCGACUCUAGGUGUCUCUCCAUGGCCCUUUGUGGCCAGGCCUGGGCUGCGUACCCAUGGGCACCCCCUCCCAUUCAAUCUCACAGACAGGACACCAGGCUGGGCAGUCCUCACCAACACCCCUCCAGCCGGCUAGCCAGCCUCCUUUCAACUCUGCAUUGCCCUGAGUUUGUGUGGGGUUGUUGAGUUCCCAGCAGGUCCUCCGGAUGUGCAUGUAGGUAGUCAGGGGAAUGGAGUGGGAGGAUAGGAGCCCAGACACUUGAAAUGGUGUUCCAUGCCUUUCUAGACCCCAGGCCCUUUCCUGCAUGAUUUUAUCAGCACAUGCUCAAUCCUUCACAGUUUACAAAGCACUUCUAGAUCCAUCCAACCCACCAAGGAUGAGGAUCACUGGCACUCUGUUUUCCCAGGCAGGGAAGUGGCUUCCAGGAGGCUUAGUGACUGACCAAGGUCUCGAGGUCUCGUGCUGGUGAAGUGCAGAGCCAGGAUCCACCUGAGCCCCCCGGCUGGCUCCAGAUCCCACACUCCUUCCUCGGCACUUCCUCGGUUCUGCACGGUGCCUCAGCACUCCCCAAAACAUCCCAUUUUGCAGGUGUGGAAACCCACGUCCCGCAGAGGCUGGGUGUUUGCUCCACUCAGUUCUGGGGACUUAGCUUGAGGCUCUCUGAUCUGUUCUCCUGCUGAGCACCCCAGGAAGGGCUCCAGGUCUCCCAGCCACUUAGUGAGAGUGGCAAGUCCUGUCUCACUUGAUCUUUGGGAGCAUAAGACGAGAUCACAGAAAAUGUCAUCAAUGUGAAAGUGUUUUGUAAACGAAGGCGCUGCUCAAACGUAGUGUUAUCUUCAGCCUGGCUACUGGCUUCCUACAAAGUGUGAAGGGAUGAAGGUAAAAGCUCUUUCUUGAAUAAUGUUAUCCAUCAAGACAGAUGAAACCACACUGGUCAGCUCCUCCUGCCCUCCCCCCAACGCCCCACCUCCCCUUCAUUCCCACAUGUUUAAAGACAUUCGUAGGCUGAGAAAUGAUUCCUGCUGCUCCUCUGACACCCGGAAUGUGCCUUGUGAUUGGCAGAGUGUCCCUCCAGAAUAGCUUAAUUUUUUCCCCAUUUCUUGACUAAUGUCCUCUACUCCUUGGCCCUGUAAUUGAGAAUUGGGCUUGCAAUGGCCAGCACACGAGCAUCUUCCCUGAAAGCUCAGAAAUGAUGGCUCUCCCGGCAGGGAGCUGGCAUUCCCCAUGGCUGAGAGCGCUGUCCUCCUCGCACGGAGGGAUCAUUCACCACCGUGUGUAUUAACCUGAAAUCCACCUCACCUUGAUGGAUAUUUUUGCCAAUCUCCCAUUUGGUUUGAUGAAUGUGAGAGAAAUUUUCCCCUAUGGCAUAUGAAUUUCUCCCUCACAAAAUAAGUCUAAAUUUUUUUCUGUUCCUGGAGAUGAAGGAGCUCUGCAGAAUAGGCCACGUCUUCAUUUACCUUUAUCUCUAGUAGCCAAAAGUCUUGAUUUUUAUAUAACUGGAAAAACCACGCAGCAUAAUGCUUAUACACACACGCGCGCAUGCAUGCACACACACGCACGCACACACGAUGCACACGCAUGCACACACGCACACAUGCACACACACGCAUGUGCGCGCACACACCACACAUGCACACACGUACACAAUGCACACAUGCACACACGCACACACAUGCACACACGCACACGCAUGCACACACGUGCGCACGCACACACACACACUGAGCACCGUUGAGCUUUGGUAGAAAAUGGCAAAAUUACGAUGUUUUUCUCAUUUCUGGUGAUUGGCUUCCGAGUGUUAUUUAGAGAGCGGAGUGGAGAGGGCUCUUUGCAGCCCUGCGGUAGUGUCUUGUGCUCACCAAGAGGCUCACGGGAAACAUGUCCUCCAACAUGAAGGUGUUUGCUAAGAUUCCAACCAGGACCCAGUCUUGGGCCACAGAACACUGACUGCUCCCCCAAGCCCCUCGCAGACCGCAGGGAUAUUUUCCCUUCAGAACCUGUUGCAUCAGAAUGGGGAAAGCGAGGGCUGAGAAUCCCAGAGGAGGCCGUGAACUGUUCUGGAAAAGCGAGGGCUUUGCAGUCAGACCUUCAUAUGCACUUUGUUCUAUCUGUUGCGCUCUGCCUAAAUGACCACGGGCCAGUGACUUUACCUCUCUGAUCCCUGCUCCUUGCCUAGAUAGUGGGGAUCACGUCGUAAUGUAUGUAAAGAACCGGGUGCGGGACUUGGCACCUGGGAAGUGUCUUAAUACAUGUCUGUCGAGAAAAGGAAGGGUCUCGACGUGCGGAAACAAGACGGAUGCCAGGAAAUACGUCUGCCCACCUCCACGCCCCUGACAGCGGAGGCUCCUGGAGGUCUGGUGAGAGGCCCCACGUGCUCCAGCCCCCUCCGCUCUGUGCUGAGCUCUGCCUUUAAGAGACUGCAGCUCCUGCCUCUAAAAAGCCUUUCAAAAUUCUUUAUUAAAUUUUCAUGGCGCAUAAAGUCAAGGUUCUGUUACUUGGCCUCAGUUGUCUUGGCAACUUCAUAAAACGCAAUAAUAAAACGAAGCUGAGUGUUGCUAAACACAGGCUCAUUGUAUAAACG